ACAGUUUGAUCCUGGCUCAGAUUGAACGCUAGCGGGAUGCCUUACACAUGCAAGUCGAACGGCAGCACGGACUUCGGUCUGGUGGCGAGUGGCGAACGGGUGAGUAAUGUAUCGGAACGUGCCCAGUAGCGGGGGAUAACUACGCGAAAGCGUAGCUAAUACCGCAUACGCCCUACGGGGGAAAGCAGGGGAUCGCAAGACCUUGCACUAUUGGAGCGGCCGAUAUCGGAUUAGCUAGUUGGUGGGGUAACGGCUCACCAAGGCGACGAUCCGUAGCUGGUUUGAGAGGACGACCAGCCACACUGGGACUGAGACACGGCCCAGACUCCUACGGGAGGCAGCAGUGGGGAAUUUUGGACAAUGGGGGAAACCCUGAUCCAGCCAUCCCGCGUGUGCGAUGAAGGCCUUCGGGUUGUAAAGCACUUUUGGCAGGAAAGAAACGUCAUGGGUUAAUACCCCGUGAGACUGACGGUACCUGCAGAAUAAGCACCGGCUAACUACGUGCCAGCAGCCGCGGUAAUACGUAGGGUGCAAGC
rnacentral:rRNA from 1 species